AGAACGAACGCUGGCGGCGUGCUUAACACAUGCAAGUCGAACGUGAUUCAGAGCUUGCUCUGAUGACAGUGGCGCACGGGUGAGUAACGCGUGGAUAACCUGCCCUGGUAUCUGGGAUAACAUCUCGAAAGGGGUGCUAAUACCGGAUAAGCCUCCGGAAUCUUCGGAUUCUGCAAGGAAAGAAGGCCUCUAUUUAUAAGCUUUCGUAUCAGGAUGGGUCCGCGUACCAUUAGCUAGUUGGUGGGUAAUCGGCCUACCGAAGGCGACGAUGGUUAGCUGGUCUGAGAGGAUGAUCAGCCACGACUGGAACUGACGACACGGUCCAGACCUCGACGGGAGCAGCAGGUGGGAAUUUGCGACG
rnacentral:rRNA from 1 species